AUGACCGCUCUCGACUUCAUGCCCGCCGAGAAGGCCCCCCAAGCCGGCUCCGUCGCACUCGGCGCCACCAACGACAAUGCAGCUGCCGCCGUGCCGGUGCAGCAGCAACACAGGAGGCUGGACGGGAAGGUGGCAAUUGUGACAGGCGGGGCGCGCGGGAUCGGGGAGGCGAUCGUGCGCGCGUUCGUCCGGCACGGCGCACGCGUGGUGAUUGCCGACAUCGACGACGCGGUGGGGGAAGCGCUGGCGGCCGCGCUGGGCGGCGCCUGCUGCAGCUACGUGCACUGCGACGUGUCGGUGGAGGCCGACGUGGAGCGCGCCGUCGAGUGCUGCGUGGCGCGGCACGGGCGGCUGGACGUCCUCUGCAACAACGCCGGCGUGCUGGGCCGGCAGGCGCCCCCGGCGGGCACGAGUGCGGGAACCAAGAGCGGCGGCAUCGCGUCCCUGGACGCCGCCGAGUUCGACCGCGUGCUGCGCGUGAACACGCUCGGCGCGGCCCUCGGCAUGAAGCACGCGGCGCGGGCCAUGCUGCAGCGCCGCGGCGGUGGCGGCGGCGGGAGCAUCGUGUCCGUGGCGAGCGUGGCCGGCGUGCUGGGCGGGAUGGGCCCGCACGCGUACACGGCCUCGAAGCACGCGCUGGUGGGGCUGACCAAGAACGCGGCCUGCGAGCUCGGGGAGCACGGCAUCCGCGUGAACUGCGUGUCCCCCUUCGGCGUGGCCACGCCAAUGCUGGUGAACGCGUGGCGCCAUGGCCACCAUGGCGAGGACGAAGAAGGGGGCGCGCCGGCGUCGGUGAGCGCUGAGGAGGUGGAGAAGGCGGAGGAGAUGGUGCGAGGCUUGGCGACGCUCAAGGGCCCGACGCUGAGAGCGGGAGACAUAGCGGAGGCGGCGCUCUUCCUGGCCAGCGAGGAGUCGAGGUACAUCUCCGGGCACAACCUCGUCGUCGACGGCGGCGUCACCACCUCCAGGAACGUCAUCGGCCUGUGA
rnacentral:rRNA from 1 species